UACGUAGGGUGCGAGCGUUAAUCGGAAUUACUGGGCGUAAAGCGUGCGCAGGCGGUUCGUCGUGUCUGAUGUGAAAGCCCCGGGCUCAACCUGGGAAUGGCAUUGGAAACUGGCGGACUAGAGUGUGGCAGAGGGGGGUGGAAUUCCGCGUGUAGCAGUGAAAUGCGUAGAGAUCCGGAGGAACACCAAAGGCGAAGGCAGUGUCCUGGGGAGUACCUGACGCUCAGGUGCGAAAGCCAGGGGAGCGAACGGG
rnacentral:rRNA from 1 species